rnacentral:lncRNA from 1 species
AACUACUUUCAAGUAACGCGCCCUUCGUUUGGUCCGCCGAAUGUGAAAGUGCCUUUUUGACACUCGAGCAGGCCCUGACGUCUGACCCGGUACUGUGCCACUUUGACCAAAGUGCAGCUACUAUAAUUCACACUGAAGCCAGCUGUCAUGGCCUCGGUGCUGUUCUCCUGCAACGUGACACCACCUUGCG